CGCCGGGGCCAGGGCCGGGCCCGGGGCCCGGGGGCGCUGGGUGCCGCAGGAGCGGCUGCUGCUCCGCCAGGCGGUAGUUGAUGGGCGCGGCGGGCGGCAGCGACACCGCAUGCGCCGAGUUGGGAGACGUGAUCUCGAAGCAUGCGCAGGAGCCUGAGAACAUUUAAGUCCACUCAGCCAGGAGGUGGCCAAGGCUCACGGCAAAUCCCAGAAGCCACAAUUCCUCAUUCAGAGGGCCCGAGACCUGGACUCCCUGGCCCUGGAGCGGAGAUUGACCCCGUGGCCUGCUGGCUUCCGGAGGGAGGCGUUCUCAGGCUGGGUCGGAAGCCGCUGCAUCCGGGUACCUGUCCCUGUCCCUUCUCCAGGUUGUCCUUGUGUGAGCCCAUCAGCUCCCUGCCACACAGACAGGGGCCACCUCCCUCCAUGGGGGCUGGCAGUCGCUGCCCUGCCGCACCAGCCCAGGGAGUCCGGCUACGGGGUCCGGGUGAUGAAGCCGCCCCACGUCAUGCAGGUGGCAGAGAUGGGCAUGCUGCCCAGCCUGCGAGCUCCGCAGGAGCAGGGACAGGUGCUAUCUUGGGCUUCCUGAGGAGACCGUGCCUGGAGGGGGCUGAGCUGAGUGGGGGACAUCGGCUCUGCUCCCCUCGCAGCCGAAGGCCACUCACGGACUGAGGGAAGUGGAGCCGGCUGCCUGGGACUCCUGGUCCGGAGUGCAGGAGCAGAGUUUCCCGGUUUGCAGUCAUUCACAGCAUGAGAACCCGGCAACCGGGCCUUGGGGCGAUACCGCGGGCCUGGGAGCGUGCCUGGCUCCCGCGUGUCCUGCACUGGCCAGCUUCCUGGGCCUCAGCCUCUCCCCCCCCCCCCCCCCAUGGUGUCUCUUCCUGCUGGGACAUGGUGCCGCGAGGAUGGGUUCCCGGUGCAGUCAGUAACAUCUCCUUCCGCUCCGGAAGGUGUUCCCAGGAGCACUGCCGAGAGGCCCGGGCCCCA